rnacentral:misc_RNA from 1 species
GCAUCCGGCCUGGAUCCUCCUUUAUCGACGACCUCAGCUGCUCCACAAGUUCCCACACGAAUUGCUUCAUUCAUUGGAGAAAACGAAGGGUCUGUCCCUCAAUUGGGUAUGGCGCACCCCAGAAAAGGGAGAGGCCGGGAGUUCGAAUCUGCCCGCACCCACCAAUUGUUGGUGUGCUGCGUGUUCCGAUGGGGGGCCCGAGUUCAGCUGGGGGAGCGCCUGCUUUGUGGGCAAGAGGCCGCGAUGUCGAUCCUCCUUGGCUCCACCAUCCAAAACAAGGCUCGAAAGCUCCGAAACUGUCCAGAACUGUUCUUUCAAAAUUCGGGUAUGAGAAAGAAGUCAGACAGAACGAUCUCUUUCACUGGUCAUCAUUCAAGUCAAGGAAAAAUUUGCGAGUUCAAGCGCGAAUUUUCGGCGAAUGUCGUCUUCACAGUACAACCAGAUUGCUUGGGGUUAUAUAUGCUCA